UCCGUCUCUCCCCAUGAUUAUCUCCAGAUCCUCAGUUCUACUGCAUUCUGUCUCUCCUGAUUAUCUCCAGACCUGCGGUCCUGUUAGUCAGCAGCUGCCUGCAGAUGGGAUUGCCGGGUUACUAAGACAGUAAAGAAAGGGCGAGGCGAGCCUUCUGUCUGUUUAAAAUCCUUGCAGCCCUUUGCUUGCUGUUUUGAAAUGGUCUUGGAUGUGGUGUUUGGGAGGGGACCCAAAUGUCUGGCAGGAACUUUUCAGUCUCUGGAAUUGGAGGGACCACCAGACUUCCAGCUGCAGGGGAUGGUCUGCCCAGUAACAGGACUCUCAGGAUUCCUUCCAAAGAAAGGGAAUGGACUCCAAUCCUGGGCUGGGUCUGCUUCUGUAACAAGAUCUGCAUGCCAUUUUGAUAAAGAGACUCAUUGUUCUGGUUUGAGGCUUCUGCUACACCAUCAAUACUAGAUCCUCACCAGGACUCCUCUCAGAUAUCCUGAUGUGGCCCUGUGUCAUGGAGAUCAUGGCUUUGGAUCUGUAGGAUCAGCCCCUUCACACACUCCAGCAGUUCAUCGAUAGGCAUAUAGAAAUCUGGGGAUCCUGCUGGUGGCCUGUGGCCCAGGAGGACAGAGCACUCCCAAGAAGACUCCUACUGGGCAUCAUGUAGCGAGGGUUCGGGUCACAACACUCCUCAGAUGACCUCAGAUACCCAGAGGCCCCGAGUGCCACUAAGAUGAGCAAGUAAGUGGUGGAGAGAUGGAAGAGAAAGAGAAGCAGAAGUGUGUGAGCUGGUAGUGAGGAACAGCCUGAUGUGAGUAGCCAGAAAUGCCAUCUGACGCUGUGGUGAGGUCCUUGGCCAUGCUGCUGCUGAGAGCCAUGUCUGUGUCCAUGGCCCUGCAGCAGCAAAGAUCAUGCAACAUCCUGGUUGGGACUGUCACCUGGGGUUAUGUUGAUGUUUGCGCAUCCCUAUGUGCAGAGCUUGCCCCACCCCUCACCAACUGUAGUACUCAGGAGAAUGGGCCAGCACUUCUCCUGUGUAGAGCUGAGCUACGUUGCAGGGAGAAUUGGCCCCUCCCCUCAUUAGGUGUAUGAUGGUAUGGUUGCAAGAAAUGCCCUCCUCCUUCUUACCUCUUGCUACCUCCAUUCCUUGGAAAGAGAGCUGGCCCCGCCCCUAGCCUGAGCAUUGUGAGAGAGUUGCCCUUCUCUUCUCAGUAGAGAGAGUUUUGAGGUCUCCUCCUUAUGUUCUGCCCAGUAUGGAAGACAGCCUCCUCUUGGCUGCCUGCAGAAGAUGUAGAACUCUCAGCUUCUUCUCCAGCACCAUUUCUACCUGGAUGCUGCCAUGCUCCCUGUCAUGGUAAUUAUGGACUGAAUCUUUGAAACUGUAAGCCAGCCCCAAUUAAAUGUUGUCCUUUAUA
rnacentral:lncRNA from 1 species